rnacentral:snRNA from 1 species
AGCUGCGUGGUGAGCACAAAGCGAACUAUUCUUUCGCCUUUUACUAAAGAAUACCGUGUGCGCGCCAAAUCAAGCAGCAUACCUUUUGGAGGGCGCUUUUCCCAUUUGGAAAGGC